rnacentral:rRNA from 1 species
AUGUCAACAACCGGUAGUAGCAGCGGUAGUAAACUCAAGCGAAAGAAUGCAGCAGGCAACCGGACCGACCCAGGUUGGCAGUACGGUGAGGAGAUCGAUGCAAAGGCUAAAACAGUUAAAUGCAAGUUUUGCAAUGAAACUAGAUCUGGUGGCAUAUACAGAUUGAAGCAUCAUUUGGCUGGCACUAAAUUCCAUACCGAGCCUUGUACCAAAGUUCCAACUGAGGUUCGUGAAAAGUUUAUUAAGCUUCUUGGAACCACUGUAGAAACAAAUGAUGCUAAAAGGAGAAAGUUGAUUGCCAUAGAGGAAGAAGAAGCACGUGCCUCAAAGGAUGAAGAGCAGGCAUCACAAAAAUGCAAGCAGAAAGUGAUGGAUCAUUUUGUCACUAGGAAGAGAACUGCUCAAGGAACCAUGCACCAACACUACAAAAAGGAAGAGAGGGAGGAGGUCUGUGCGCAGAUUUGUCGUUUCUUAUACACUAGUGCUAUACCUUUUAAUGUUGUUAGGAACCCUGAGUUCAGCAAGAUGAUUCAUAUGAUAGGUAAGUUUGGUAAUGGACUCAAGCCUCCUACAUAUCAUGAAGCAAGAGUUGUAUUUCUGGAGAAAGAAGUUCAGAAUAUGAUCAAUGUGAUUUCUGAGUACAAAGAAGAGUGGAAAAAAACUGGUUGUACUAUCAUGUCUGAUGGCUGGACAGAUACAAAGAAAAGGUCACUUUGCAAUUUCUUGGUGAACAGCCCAAAAGGUACUGUUUUUUUGACAUCAAUUGACACAUCUGAAAUUAGCAAGACAGCUGAUAAGGUAUUUGACAUGUUAGAUGAGAUAGUAGAGCGGGUCGGAGAGGAAAAUGUUAUCCAAGUUGUUACUGACAAUGCAUCCAACUAUAAAGCAGCUGGUGAUCUCUUAAUAGAAAAGAGAAAAAAGCUCUACUGGACACCUUGUGGUGCACAUUGCAUCGACUUGAUGCUUGAGGAUUUUGAAAAGAAAAUUAAGAUGCAUGCCACUACAAUCACAAAGGGACGUAAAAUCACUGCUUUCAUCUAUUCUAGGACUAUGCUUAUUGCAUGGUUGAGAGAAUUUACAGAAGGAAAGGAUUUGAUAAGGCCUGCUGUCACAAGAUUUGCUACAGCUUACUUGACUCUGUCUUGUCUUGAGCAACAUAAAGGUGCACUGAUCAAUAUGUUUAGUUCAGUUAAAUGGAAGGCUAGCCGCUUUGCUUCUUUAAUAGAUGGUAAAAGAGUUCAAGAUAUUGUCAUGGACAGUAAAGGAUUUUGGCCUAAUGUUGUGGCAUGCUUGAAAGCUGCGAUGCCUCUAAUCAAGGUCCUUAGAAUGGUUGAUUCUGAUGAAAAGCCAGCCAUGCCAUUUAUCUAUGCUCAGAUGGAGCAAGCAAAGGAGAGGAUAAAGGACAAUUUUAACAAAGUGAAGAAAAGACAGAAGAGAAGGGAUGCCAAGGCUGCACUUCAGUUGGAGGAUAUUGAAUCAGAUGAUGAAUGGAUCACAGAAAAAGAGGAUCCAGUGCUUCCUAUAAACCAAGAUUGGUUGCACUCUCUUGAUAGGAUUACUCGAAGGGAAGCACGUGCCGAUGCAGAAGAAAAUACUGACCAUGAAGUUGAGACCAUGGCAAAGAACAUAGAUGAUGCAUGUGGCGAUGAAUUUGGCUUUGGUGGCGACGAGUAUAAUCAUGUAUUUGACUACAAUGAAGACGAAGCUAACGAUGGGUACAACGAGGAUAAAGAAUACGAUGAUGUCCUAGAUGGAGAUGAUGGUAGCGCACAUCCUUCAACCUCGUACAUGGCCAACAAUAAUGGGGAUGACUUCUAUUAG